UUAACUAUUAUAUAGUACUCAGACAGUAUAGACAAACAGAGUUUAGGUCCUCUGGCAAGCGCUCGCCGGCCGGAGCCAGCAGCCCGAGGGCAGGCUUGCCAAAGCAACAAGUAUAUAAUACGCAAAGGGUGAGGUUUGCUACCCAGAGGGCAGCGAACACUGUAAUGAUCCUUCCGCAGGUUCACCUACGGAAA
rnacentral:misc_RNA from 1 species